GACGAACGCUGGCGGCGUGCCUAAUACAUGCAAGUCGAACGCUGAAGGAGGAGCUUGCUCUUCUGGAUGAGUUGCGAACGGGUGAGUAACGCGUAGGUAACCUGCCUGGUAGCGGGGGAUAACUAUUGGAAACGAUAGCUAAUACCGCAUAAGAGUAGAUGUUGCAUGACAUUUACUUAAAAGGUGCAAUUGCAUCACUACCAGAUGGACCUGCGUUGUAUUAGCUAGUUGGUGGGGUAACGGCUUACCAAGGCGACGAUACAUAGCCGACCUGAGAGGGGGAUCGGCCACACUGGGACUGAGACACAGCCCAGACUCCUACGGGAGGCAGCAGUAGGGAAUCUUCGGCAAUGGACGGAAGUCUGACCGAGCAACGCCGCGUGAGUGAAGAAGGUUUUCGGAUCGUAAAGCUCUGUUGUAAGAGAAGAACGAGUGUGAGAGUGGAAAGUUCACACUGUGACGGUAUCUUACCAGAAAGAGACGGCUAACUACGUG
rnacentral:rRNA from 1 species